rnacentral:rRNA from 1 species
GAUGAACGCUGGCGGCGUGCUUAACACAUGCCAGUCGAACGGAAAGGCUCCUGCUUGCAGGGGUACUCGAGUGGCGAACGGGUGAGUAACACGUGGGUGAUCUGCCCUGCACUUCGGGAUAAGCCUGGGAAACUGGGUCUAAUACCGGAUAGGACGAUGGUUUGGAUGCCAUUGUGGAAAGUUUUUUCGGUGUGGGAUGAGCUCGCGGCCUAUCAGCUUGUUGGUGGGGUAAUGGCCUACCAAGGCGUCGACGGGUAGCCGGCCUGAGAGGGUGUACGGCCACAUUGGGACUGAGAUACGGCCCAGACUCCUACGGGAGGCAGCAGUGGGGAAUAUUGCACAAUGGGCGGAAGCCUGAUGCAGCGACGCCGCGUGGGGGAUGACGGCCUUCGGGUUGUAAACCGCUUUCGCUAGUGACGAAGCGCAAGUGACGGUACCUGGUGAAGAAGCACCGGCUAACUACGUG